AGCAGCCGCGGUAAUUCCAGCUCCAAUAGCGUAUAUUAAAGUUGUUGCAGUUAAAAAGCUCGUAGUUGAAUUUCGGGAUCAGUACGUUGGUCGUGCCUUCGGUACGUACUGGCGUUACUGGUUCCUACCUUCUGAGGAACCGUCAUGUCAUUAAUUUGGUGUGGUGGGAAAUCAGGACUGUUACUUUGAAAAAUUAGAGUGUUUAAAGCAGGCUCGCGCUUGAAUACAUUAGCAUGGAAUAAUGAAAUAGGACGUUCGAUCCUAUUUUGUUGGUUUCUAGGAUUGACGUAAUGAUUAAUAGGGAUAGUUGGGGGCAUUAGUAUUCAAUUGUCAGAGGUGAAAUUCUUGGAUUUAUUGAAGACUAACUACUGCGAAAGCAUUUGCCAAGGAUGUCUUCAUUAAUCAAGAACGAAAGUUAGGGGAUCGAAGACGAUCAGAUACCGUCGUAGUCUUAACCAUAAACUAUGCCGACUAGGGAUCGGAUGAUGUUAAUUUUUAAUGACUCAUUCGGCGCCUUACG
rnacentral:rRNA from 1 species